CGAUUUAUCCAGAAUGGAUUAUCGUUGCUAUGCAGGGCACCACUGUACUGACAAGGUAAUGGUGUUGCUGUGGACGCAGUGAAAACGAAAACAAAUCUAGAAAUUGUUGUUAGAAACCAUUUCUUAACCUGAAGCGCUGUUCUCCUUCCCCAACAUAGUCAAUUGCAGCCGAAGUGACAGAUAAGAACCUUGCGGAAGGAAGGCUGUAUCCCCCUCUGAGCUCCAUUCGAGAUGUCUCCUUUAAAAUUGCUGUCAAAGUCGUUGACUAUGCCUACAAGCACAGUUUGGCAUCCUGGUACCCAGAGCCAGAAGACAAGGAAGCCUUCGUGAAGUCCCUCAUAUAUAGCCCUGACUAUGAUUCCUUUGUUAUAGAUAAUUACCAGUGGCCGCAGGAAGCCAUGCAGACUCAAAAUAUUUAAAUUUCUUUUUCUGGGAAGGAACGUGGGUGGGUUCUAAAGAGAGACGGGUCCUUAAGACGCCCGCAUUUCUACCAUCUUUUGGUAGAAAUGUGUCUUUAGGUUUAUAGAGUCAUCAGCUGUGAAUGGCGGUGAAGAAUCGCCCGUCUUUUCUUCCCCAGCUUCCUUUCGUGCUUAGAAACAUAUCUGAGCCAGAAACAGAACAAAGACAAUGGGAAAAUUUUGCACCCUUAGCCAAAUGAACAAAGGUGCCUCGGUGGGAUCCGGAAAGGUUCCAUUCUGCUGCUUUCACCUGUCUUUGCUUAAGCAACCUCAGCCUGCUUAUGAAAAGGGAUCUAUACUAGAGUUACUGUCUACCAAAUUUUCUUCACUCCCCUUGAAUAAUCAUCCCACCACCUCUCCUCAGCCUAGCUCAAGCUGAGCUCCAACAAAGUCCGCCAUAUUUGGGGCCCGAGGCCAUCAACAAGCCACUGGCCCUGCGGCCGGUGCUCCACUGCUGUCAGAGUGGUUUUUUUUGUACUUUUCCGCCAGCCGGAGGCAGAGCUUAGAAAUAAUGCUCUUUCCUUCUGGAGGCGAUUCAAAAUGUGGUUUCUGUCUUAAACAGGAGGACAAGCAUCCAAAAACUAAAGUUUUGAAACAACUAAAAAAAAAAAAGCUUUGCUUUCAAAAUGUGAUUUUCAAAAGGUUACCCCAGUUCACUUGUC